GAUGAAGAACGUAGCGAAAUGCGAUAAGUAAUGCGAAUUGCAGAAUUCCGUGAGUCAUCGAAUCUUUGAACGCACAUUGCGCCCGCCAGUAUUCUGGCGGGCAUGCCUGUUCGAGCGUCAUUUCAACCAUCAAGCCCCAGGCUUGUGUUGGGGACCUGCGGCUGCCGCAGGCCCUGAAAACCAGUGGCGGGCUCGCUGUCACACCGGGCGUAGUAGAUUUUAUCUCGCUCAGGGCGUGCUGCGGGUCCCGGCCGUUAAAAGCCUUUUUUUACCCAAGGUUGACCUCGGAUCAGGUAGGAAGACCCGCUGAACUUAAGCAUAUCAAUAAGCGGAGGA
rnacentral:misc_RNA from 1 species